rnacentral:lncRNA from 1 species
CUGGGGCGGAGGGUGCUCAGAGGCGAUCGGACCCCGCGUGGUGGUGGCUGGGGUUUCCUGGGUGCGGGUGUGCGCGGCUACGAGCCCCGGGCGUGUGUACCCGCGCGUCCACGUGGAGGGCUGUGCGCGUGUGGCCGAAAAGCGUGUGCGCGGCCCUGCGUAGCGCCCUGCGUGCCCGAGUGGCCCGGCGCUGGCGCCCAGGUGUUCCAGUGUGGGGCGGCUGUGUGUGUGCCGGGGGCGGGGGACAGGUGCGCACGUUCCCAGGUGUGGAGCGCUUGUGCGCGCGGAUGCGCGGGGACGUGUGCGCACACCUGUUUCCACGUGGACGUGGUCCUUUGCUUGUCUGCGCGCAGCUGUGUCCGAGCCCUGUGUGUUUCUGUGCGUGUGCAUGCAUCCGUAUGCGUAAAACAGGAAGAACCAGGCUCGGUCCAGUGGCACCCAGCUCCCUACCUCCUGUGCCAGCCGACUGGCCUGUGGCAGGCCAUUCCCAGCGUCCCCGACUGUGACCACUUGCUCAGUGUGCCUCUCACCUGCCUCAGUUUCCCUCUGGGGGCGAUGGCGGGGCGAGGCUCUCUGGUUUCCUGGCGGGCAUUU